rnacentral:rRNA from 1 species
GAUGAACGCUGGCGGCGUGCUUAACACAUGCAAGUCGAACGAGCUUUAUUACUACGAUCCCUUCGGGGUGACGGUUUUAAAGCGAGUGGCGGACGGGUGAGUAACGCGUGGAUAACCUGCCAUAUACUGGGGGAUAACAGCUGGAAACAGCUGCUAAUACCGCAUAAAACUGUAGAGUCGCAUGACUUUAUAGCCAAAGCUCCGGCGGUGUAUGAUGGAUCCGCGUCUGAUUAGGCAGUUGGCGGGGUAACGGCCCACCAAACCGACGAUCAGUAGCCGACCUGAGAGGGUGACCGGCCACAUUGGGACUGAGACACGGCCCAGACUCCUACGGGAGGCAGCAGUGGGGGAAUAUUGCACAAUGGAGGAAACUCUGAUGCAGCGACGCCGCGUGAGCGAUGAAGUAUUUCGGUAUGUAAAGCUCUAUCAGCAGGGAAGAUAAAUGACGGUACCUGACUAAG